CAUAAAGGAUACAGCGCAGAAUCACAUCGCAGAAAGAAAAAAGACUCAAGUAGUACUUUACGAAAAAAGAGCCAACCUGUUUUGCCGCUUCUUGGACAAUCCAUUUGCCCUUUUUUCUUUUUCUGUACAAAUUUU
rnacentral:ribozyme from 14 species